rnacentral:rRNA from 1 species
AGUACCGUGAGGGAAAGGCGAAAAGAACCCCGGCGAGGGGAGUGAAAAAGAACCUGAAACCGUGUACGUACAAGCAGUGGGAGCCUCUUAAUGGGGUGACUGCGUACCUUUUGUAUAAUGGGUCAGCGACUUAUAUUCUGUAGCAAGGUUAACCGAAUAGGGGAGCCGAAGGGAAACCGAGUCUUAACUGGGCGUUAAGUUGCAGGGUAUAGACCCGAAACCCGGUGAUCUAGCCAUGGGCAGGUUGAAGGUUGGGUAACACUAACUGGAGGACCGAACCGACUAAUGUUGAAAAAUUAGCGGAUGACUUGUGGCUGGGGGUGAAAGGCCAAUCAAACCGGGAGAUAGCUGGUUCUCCCCGAAAGCUAUUUAGGUAGCGCCUCGUGAAUUCAUCUCCGGGGGUAGAGCACUGUUUCGGCAAGGGGGUCAUCCCGACUUACCAACCCGAUGCAAACUGCGAAUACCGGAGAAUGUUAUCACGGGAGACACACGGCGGGUGCUAACGUCCGUCGUGAAGAGGGAAACAACCCAGACCGCCAGCUAAGGUCCCAAAGUCAUGGUUAAGUGGGAAACGAUGUGGGAAGGCCCAGACAGCCAGGAUGUUGGCUUAGAAGCAGCCAUCAUUUAAAGAAAGCGUAAUAGCUCACUGGUCGAGUCGGCCUGCGCGGAAGAUGUAACGGGGCUAAACCAUGCACCGAAGCUGCGGCAGCGACACUAUG